rnacentral:rRNA from 1 species
AGUGAACGCUGGCGGUAGGCCUAACACAUGCAAGUCGAACGGCAGCACAGUAAGAGCUUGCUCUGACGGGUGGCGAGUGGCGGACGGGUGAGGAAUACAUCGGAAUCUACUUUUUCGUGGGGGAUAACGUAGGGAAACUUACGCUAAUACCGCAUAUGACCUACGGGUGAAAGCAGGGGAUCUUCGGACCUUGCGCGAUUGAAUGAGCCGAUGUCGGAUUAGCUAGUUGGCGGGGUAAAGGCUCACCAAGGCGACGAUCCGUAGCUGGUCUGAGAGGAUGAUCAGCCACACUGGAACUGAGACACGGUCCAGACUCCUACGGGAGGCAGCAGUGGGGAAUAUUGGACAAUGGGCGCAAGCCUGAUCCAGCCAUACCGCGUGGGUGAAGAAGGCCUUCGGGUUGUAAAGCCCUUUUGUUGGGAAAGAAAAGCAGCAGGUUAAUACCCCGCUGUUCUGACGGUACCCAAAGAAUAAGCACCGGCUAACUUCGUG